rnacentral:lncRNA from 1 species
CGGCGCACUGCGGCACACUGCGGCACACUGCGGCACACUGAGGCACACUGCGGAGCACUGCGGAGCACUGCGGCACACUGCGGCGCACUGCGGCACACUGCGGCGCACUGCGGCACACUGGCGCACUGCGGCACACUGCGGCGCACUGCGGAGCACUGCGGCACACUGCUUGCCUGUGACCUAUGCCCAUCUCCAGAUUAGUGCCCUCUGGUUCGAAUGCUGAGCAAAUGGCCACCGUACCACAUUGUCGAGGGGAUAAAGACAAGGUGGGGAAAACCUGUCCAAGUUUAGCCCUCACACGUUUUCCUCCAAGCAUUUUUGAGCCACUGCUGAUUGAGUCUUAGGUCUCCGAGGCCACAGACAGUCGCGG